AGAUUGGACUAAAAGAAAAGGGCUUUGCAGUAGUUCAUCUCACUUUCAUUUCACGUCUCACAUUUCAACAUAACGUCUGUGUUUCUCUGGGUUUAAGAUGCAGCUUCGUGGAGUCCUGAUCAUCCUGUUUAUGAGUCUGUGCACAGCUCAUGGAUUAAAAUGUUACACAUGUGAAAAUGCCGACCUGAGUUGCACAAAUAUAGUCACUUGUCCAAAUGGAUUUGACCGCUGUUUCUCCAUGUUUGUGGAUGGUCACCUCCUUAAGAACUGCAUAAUGAGUAACCCAUGUGUACCUCCAAUCUCGUGCUGUAAGGGAGACUUGUGUAAUGGGGCCAUACCUACUGGUCCCAGUGCCGUCCUCUUGCUGGUGCCGUCAGCCAUCAUCACUCUCUUUCUCUGAUGACUUGGAAAAGCCUGUUACCACAUUUGUUCAUUUUUGGAGGAAAACAAAAUCUCAUUUUGCCAGGAAACAAAAUUGAACAAAAACAAAAUGCUGAUUUGACUAAUAAAUUCCCUAAAUAAAAUUACUGUUAUAAUUACCUGUUAAGUCCAAAUUAUGAAACGACUUGAUAUAGUCUUUGCUUUAAUGAGGCAUGAUUAACUUCAUACAGUAGUUUGAUAGUUUGGUGGUUAAAUUUGUUUACAUACACAAACAGCAAAAAUCAAUAAUAUGUUAUUAAAUACAAAUGUUAUUAUAACAAUGAUAUAUAAUGAAUCAAUGUAAUGAAUUUUGUUCAUUUUCUGUUGUGACUUUUUGCUCUUAUUUUGAUAGUUUUGGUUACAUUUUUCUUUCAUGUCAUACAAUGACAUACAAAACCUGAAUGGUCAAUAAAAUGGUCAGCUUUUCAAUAAUAAACCUCAUACUAUUACAAUAUUGAUUUGUUGUCUGUCUUCAGUGUUACUAGAAAAUAGUUAUUGUACAAACACAAACUCUACACUAGGAGACUAACUUACAACAUACUGUACGUAAGGACAGUGUAACAGUAGUUACUGGACCCAGUGUUGUCCUCCUACUGGUAUCGUCAGCCAUCAUCACCCUCUUUGUGUGAGGCUCCAAAAAGGAAACCAUGUAGUAUCUUUCUAUUUUCAGACCUGAAUUUUAUUGUGUGAAAUGUGUAAAGACUGACGUUUUAUUAGUGAAAUAAUAAUCUAGAAAUUAAGCUAACAAACAGACUGAUGAUCAGUGACACACCUAGUGCCAUUAGCAGAGUUACUGUAGAACCUACAGUAAGACCUUGUGCUUUCCAAGCACCUGCACCUGCUACCAGGCCUCCUACAGUGUACAUAUGCUCAUGGGGUCAUAUGGGUACGAUUCCCAGGGCCGACCGGUUGCCUUUCUGUGUAGAGUUUACAUGUUCUCCCCGUGUUCGCGCGGGUUCUCUCCGGGUUCUCCGACUUCCUCCCACGGU